rnacentral:lncRNA from 1 species
GAGUUCACAUCUCGCGGAAGAACUCUCGAAACAGAUCUCGAAUAAAACAUUUCACAAUCGAAGAAGGAUAUGAGACGACAACUCAUCACCUUCCUCCCCAGUAUUCACAAACUCAUAAAAAAACGUUAUCCGAUUAUCGUACUAUAAAAAGAAAGCCGCGGAGCGGCAGGGAUUCAAAGCCACACACGGCCAGUCCCGAAAUACAAACAAGGCCAUUCAAGGCCGAAACAUAAAAAAAAAAAUCUCUCGCAAGAGAUCUAACCCAAGUCACC